rnacentral:lncRNA from 1 species
GGCUUUCAGUCCAAGUUUCUAUCCAUAGCGGUGGUAGCCUCUUGACGAAUAGCAAGUGGUUAUCCUAGCAACCAUACCUUAUGUGGAUUUCUUGAAUUUUAGGAAAAUUUAGUACUUAACUUGUUUAAUGGCUAUAAUUCUUGGACAUAUUUUACUAGCUUCCAAGAAUAUAUCUUUCAUGCGAAAGUAUGAUUGAUCUUCUUUUGCUACAUUGACCAUUCGAUUGCACUCUGCAUAGCUCUCAAAGAACUCCCAGCUUCUUAACUCAUCCAUCUGC